AAAAUUUCUCGCUCGACAUGGGAGGCGGAUCAUGCUCGUGCGCUCGUUGUGCCUGUCGCUGGACAGAGAGGUGGAUCGGGCACGGAGGAAUCCAUCCACGGCCGAUGCGGCCGACGCGCGCGAUGCGCUCGAGCGGGAUCCAGACGAAGGGCGCGAGCCGCGCCCGGCGACGCGGGCGAUCCCUCCAGGUGGCGGCGUGAUGAGCAUGCGAUUCGACAGGGAUCCAAGGGAAGUGCGCGGCGCUGCCGGCCGCGACCACCACGACUCGCUCGAGCGGGAUUCCGGUGCGGGAGGGGAUCGACACAAGGCGAGGCAUCCUGCCCGGAUCGAGCCGAUGCGACGUGCGUGAGGAUGCGGCGCGGCAAACCCUAGGUGCCGCCACCAUGCCCUCGUGCUAUGCAUGUACACAGGUCACAGAGUGGUGGAGGCUGACGGCUCGGAGGAGGUACAUGACAAGAUCAUAUUCGGCGCACAUGCACCUGACGUUUUGAGGGUGCUAGGAGACGAAGCAACACACGAGGAGUUGAGGAUCCUGGGUGCUUUCCAAUAUGUCCAGAGCGACAUGUACCUACAUUGUGAUGAAAGCCUUAUGGCAUGGAAUUCGUCGACAUGGAGCACCUGCAACUUCCUGGGAACAACCAGCGCUAGAGAGUUGCACUGCUUUAAUUCGGCGGCUUGGUUGUCGGGAUUGUCUUACUUACAUGAGCAUUGAUGCUGGUUGGUGUAACGGGUACAGUACUAACUUAAUUUUAGUGUAUUUUUUCAUAUAAUAGUUUCAUUUUUCCAAUGAGGAUUGUCUUGCUUACAUGAGCAUUGAUGCUACUUGGUGUGAUGGGCAUAAUAAUGGUUUUAUUUUUUAGUUUUGAGAUUUCAAAGAGGGUCACUCAACGAAAGGUUAUCAUUCAUCACUGUAACCCAGUCUUCUGCAAACUUGUUGAGUAUCCAUGUAAUUAUGAUUAAUUCUUGGUGUUAAUGGACCCUGUAUAUUUAUAUAGCAAUGCUUGUUUUUUUAACUCAAAAAUUCACAGGAGAGUUUCAAAGCUGCUUUCAAGGAAGUCUAUAGACUAAACAAAGUUUCUGUCACGACAACUAACACAAUGGUAUGAAAUAUGCCAUAGAGGAUGGCUAUUCCAUGAUGAAACAUGAGGUCUGCCUGCCUUAGGUACCGGAGGAUAAAGCUCAGGAGAUGAUUGCAUAGGCAGUAAAAAAGCUGAGUAUAAAAUCCAAAUUCUGCGAUCAGUACAUCAGAAAAAGGGUGGACAUUGCCUGAGCUAUCAUGCUGAUUACUAUGGUAUACUACCGUAAUCUUUGUUUGUAAUUGUGCAUAGGUUGAUAUCUUCUCUGUUUUUCGUAACCAAGUUAUUUGUGCAUAUAAACCACUGUACAUAUAGCCAAACAUAAAACAUACAACCAAACAUCCAUAGAGAUGCGUGGUAUUAGAGCUCGUAAGUAAUGUAACUAUAUAUUAUGAUUGUAAACCUAUCUCCUUCCCCAGAUAUGAAGGUUAGAGAAACUCAUUUUCUGAUAUUUUAAAGCUAUCUUCAUGUUCACUAUAGGUGCCAGAUGGUUGCAAUAAUGUCCAUUCAAAACAACGUUUGAUGUGUUUGUGCUUUGGUUUUAUAGGGUUGUACACUUGAAACACUGUAAUAUGAACUACUCAAAUUAUGUCAAAUGGAUGCUAUGAGGUUCCAUAC